UACGUAGGGUGCGAGCGUUAAUCGGAAUUACUGGGCGUAAAGCGUGCGCAGGCGGUUUUGUAAGCCAGGUGUGAAAUCCCCGGGCUCAACCUGGGAAUGGCAUUUGGGACUGCAAGGCUGGAGUGCGGCAGAGGAGACUGGAAUUCCUGGUGUAGCAGUGAAAUGCGUAGAUAUCAGGAGGAACACCGAUGGCGAAGGCAGGUCUCUGGACUGACACUGACGCUCAUGCACGAAAGCGUGGGGAGCAAACAGG
rnacentral:rRNA from 1 species